GGUUUACAAUUUCAUCUUAUCCACUCUCAUAUAUCUACUCUUCUUAUUUAAUUCACUUGUUUAUCUAAUUGCAAUGCAAACUUUCUUAAUUACCCUUAGCCCAAUUCCUUGGUGAAAAGAGCCUAUUACUAAUUACCGGCUUGCUAUCCCUAGCCUCUCCUAGUAACUAAUAAUGCAAUGCAUUCUGAAGCAAAUGCAAUUGACCGUCCUAUCCCUAUCCCUAGG
rnacentral:lncRNA from 1 species